UGAACGCUGGCGGCGUGCCUAAUACAUGCAAAUCGAGCGAACGGACGAGAAGCUUGCUUCUCUGAUGUUAGCGGCGGACGGGUGAGUAACACGUGGAUAACCUACCUAUAAGACUGGGAUAACUUCGGGAAACCGUAGCUAAUACCGGAUAAUAUUUUGAACCGCAUGGUUCAAAAGUGAAAGACGGUCUUGCUGUCACUUAUAGAUGGAUCCGCGCUGCAUUAGCUAGUUGGUAAGGUAACGGCUUACCAAGGCAACGAUGCAUAGCCGACCUGAGAGGGUGAUCGGCCACACUGGAACUGAGACACGGUCCAGACUCCUACGGGAGGCAGCAGUAGGGAAUCUUCCGCAAUGGGCGAAAGCCUGACGGAGCAACGCCGCGUGAGUGAUGAAGGUCUUCGGAUCGUAAAACUCUGUUAUUAGGGAAGAACAUAUGUGUAAGUAACUGUGCACAUCUUGACGGUACCUAAUCAGAAAGCCACGGCUAACUACGUG
rnacentral:rRNA from 1 species